UAAUACGUAGGGUGCGAGCGUUAAUCGGAAUUACUGGGCGUAAAGCGUGCGCAGGCGGUUCGUGAUGUCUGAUGUGAAAGCCCCGGGCUCAACCUGGGAAUUGCAUUGGAAACUAGCGGGCUGGAGUGUGGCAGAGGGGGGUGGAAUUCCACGUGUAGCAGUGAAAUGCGUAGAGAUGUGGAGGAACACCGAUGGCGAAGGCAGCCCCCUGGGCUAACACUGACGCUCAUGCACGAAAGCGUGGGGAGCAAACAGGAUUAGAUACCCUGGUAGUCCACGCCCUAAACGAUGGCAACUGGGUGUUGGGGAAGCGAUUUCUCAGUACCGUAGCUAACGCGUGAAGUUGCCCGCCUGGGGAGUACGGCCGCAAGGUUA
rnacentral:rRNA from 1 species